rnacentral:rRNA from 1 species
GACGAACGCUGGCGGCGUGCUUAACACAUGCAAGUCGAACGGAAAGACCCUGCUUUUGUGGGGUGCUCGAGUGGCGAAAGGGUGAGUAACACGUGAGUAACCUGCCCUUGGCUUUGGGAUAACUUCAGGAAACUGGGGCUAAUACCGGAUAGGAGCUCCUGCUGCAUGGUGGGGGUUGGAAAGUUUCGGCGGUUGGGGAUGGACUCGCGGCUUAUCAGCUUGUUGGUGGGGUAGUGGCUUACCAAGGCUUUGACGGGUAGCCGGCCUGAGAGGGUGACCGGCCACAUUGGGACUGAGAUACGGCCCAGACUCCUACGGGAGGCAGCAGUGGGGAAUAUUGCACAAUGGGCGGAAGCCUGAUGCAGCAACGCCGCGUGCGGGAUGACGGCCUUCGGGUUGUAAACCGCUUUCGCCUGUGACGAAGCGUGAGUGACGGUAAUGGGUAAAGAAGCACCGGCUAACUACGUG